rnacentral:rRNA from 1 species
UACGGGGGGGGCAAGCGUUGUUCGGAAUUACUGGGCGUAAAGGGCUCGUAGGCGGCCAACUAAGUCAGACGUGAAAUCCCUCGGCUUAACCGGGGAACUGCGUCUGAUACUGGAUGGCUUGAGUUUGGGAGAGGGAUGCGGAAUUCCAGGUGUAGCGGUGAAAUGCGUAGAUAUCUGGAGGAAUACCGGUGGCGAAGGCGGCAUCCUGGACCGGCAUUGACGCUGAGGAGCGAAAGCUAGGGGAGCAAACGGG